CUACGGGAGGCUGCAGUGAGGAAUAUUGCGCAAUGGACGAAAGUCUGACGCAGCCAUGCCGCGUGCAGGAUGACGGCGCUAUGCGUUGUAAACUGCUUUUAUAGGCCAAGAAACCUUCGGACGUGUCCGAAGCUGACGGUAGCAUAUGAAUAAGCACCGGCUAACUCCGUGCCAGCAGCCGCGGUAAUACGGAGGGUGCAGGCGUUAUCCGGAUUUAUUGGGUUUAAAGGGUCCGUAGGCGGAUCAUUAAGUCAGUGGUGAAAGCCGGCAGCUCAACUGUCGAACUGCCAUUGAUACUGGUGAUCUUGAAUACGGUUGAAGUUGGCGGAAUAGGUCAUGUAGCGGUGAAAUGCUUAGAUAUGACCUAGAACACCGAUUGCGAAGGCAGCCAACUAAGCCGUUAUUGACGCUGAGGGACGAAAGCGUGGGGAGCGAACAGGAUUAGAUACCCGCGUAGUC
rnacentral:rRNA from 1 species